UACGGAGGGGGCAAGCGUUGUUCGGAAUUAUUGGGCGUAAAGGGCGUGUAGGCGGCCGGAUAAGUCGGAUGUGAAAUCCCUCGGCUCAACUGAGGAACUGCAUUCGAUACUGUUUGGCUAGAGUCCGGGAGAGGAUAGCGGAAUUCCCAGUGUAGCGGUGAAAUGCGUAGAUAUUGGGAAGAACACCGGUAGCGAAGGCGGCUAUCUGGACCGGCACUGACGCUGAGGCGCGAAAGCCAGGGGAGCGAAUGGG
rnacentral:rRNA from 1 species